GAUGAACGCUGGCGGCGUGCCUAAUACAUGCAAGUCGAGCGAACAGACGAGGAGCUUGCUCCUUUGACGUUAGCGGCGGACGGGUGAGUAACACGUGGGUAACCUACCUAUAAGACUGGGAUAACUUCGGGAAACCGGAGCUAAUACCGGAUAAUAUUUCGAACCGCAUGGUUCGAUAGUGAAAGAUGGCUUUGCUAUCACUUAUAGAUGGACCUGCGCCGUAUUAGCUAGUUGGUAAGGUAACGGCUUACCAAGGCAACGAUACGUAGCCGACCUGAGAGGGUGAUCGGCCACACUGGAACUGAGACACGGUCCAGACUCCUACGGGAGGCAGCAGUAGGGAAUCUUCCGCAAUGGGCGAAAGCCUGACGGAGCAACGCCGCGUGAAUGAUGAAGGUCUUCGGAUCGUAAAACUCUGUUAUUAGGGAAGAACAAACGUGUAAGUAACUGUGCACGUCUUGACGGUACCUAAUCAGAAAGCCACGGCUAACUACGUG
rnacentral:rRNA from 1 species